GUCGCCUGGAACAAGGAAGCACAAACCCAAACCCACAAAUAUCAUAAAAUCAGCAAAUUGAAAGGGAAUCCAUGGCUUGAAUCACUGCAUGAACACAUAGAAACGUUCAUUUGAGUUAGACAAUCGAAUGGAGUGAAAGAGGAAGACGCAAGCCACUCCGGAACGCAAUCAAAACACGAUAAAAGUAAAUCUUCUUGAUGGAAGGCGCUUCUUGGAACGGACACACUCAUGAUGCACGCUUCCGCGAUGAUACUAGUUAUGGGUCUAAACUUUUGUUGAAUGGUUUUGUUAAAAUGGGUCUUUUGUAAGUAACUAACCGGAAGUCAAUAGAUGUUAAAACUUUGUAGUUAAAGAUUAUGUUAGUAGUUUAAGAAA